CCUACGGGAGGCAGCAGUGGGGAAUAUUGCACAAUGGGCGCAAGCCUGAUGCAGCCAUGCCGCGUGUGUGAAGAAGGCCUUCGGGUUGUAAAGCACUUUCAGCGGGGAGGAAGGCGUUAAGGUUAAUAACCUUGUCGAUUGACGUUACCCGCAGAAGAAGCACCGGCUAACUCCGUGCCAGCAGCCGCGGUAAUACGGAGGGUGCAAGCGUUAAUCGGAAUUACUGGGCGUAAAGCGCACGCAGGCGGUCUGACAAGUCGGAUGUGAAAUCCCCGGGCUCAACCUGGGAACUGCAUUCGAAACUGGCAGGCUAGAGUCUUGUAGAGGGGGGUAGAAUUCCAGGUGUAGCGGUGAAAUGCGUAGAGAUCUGGAGGAAUACCGGUGGCGAAGGCGGCCCCCUGGACAAAGACUGACGCUCAGGUGCGAAAGCGUGGGGAGCAAACAGGAUUAGAUACCCGGGUAGUC
rnacentral:rRNA from 1 species